rnacentral:ncRNA from 1 species
CUGCGGACUUAAUUGGAUUGAGCCUUGGUAUGGAAACCUACUAAGUGAGAACUUUCAAAUUCAGAGAAACCCCGGAAUUAAUAAAAAUGGGCAAUCCUGAGCCAAAUCCUAUUUUCCAAAAACAAACAAAGGCCCAGAAGGUGAAAAAAGGAUAGGUGCAGAGACUCAAUGGAAGCUGUUCUAACAAAUGGAAUUGACUGUGUUGCAUUGGUAGAGGAAUCCUUCCAUUGAAACUUCCGAAAAGAUGAAGGAUAUACGUAUAUACAUACGUAUACGUACUGAAAUACUCUAUCAAAUGAUUAAUGACGACCUGAAUCUGUAUUUUUACAUGAAAAAGGGAAAAAUUGUUGUGAAUCGAUUCCAUAUUGAAGAAAGAAUCGAAUAUUCAUUGAUCAAAGCAUUCACCACACAGUCUGAUAGUUCUUUUGCAGAACUAAUUAAUCGGACGAGAAUAAAGAUAGAGUCCCAUUCUACAUGUCAAUACCGG